rnacentral:rRNA from 1 species
AUUGAACGCUGGCGGCAGGCCUAACACAUGCAAGUCGAACGAGUGGCGGAAGGGUGAGUAAUGUGUGGGAAACUGCCUGAUGGAGGGGGAUAACUACUGGAAACGGUAGCUAAUACCGCAUACCAUCAGAUGGGCCCAGAUGGGAUUAGCUAGUGGGUGGGGUAACGGCUCACCAAGGCGACUAUCCCUAUCUGGUGUGCGCGGAUGACCGGCCACAGUGGAACUGAGACACGGCCCAGACUCUUACGGGAGGCAGCAGUGGGGAAUAUUGCACAAUGGGCGCAAGCCUGAUGCAGCCAUGUCGCGUGUAUGAAGCAGGCUUUCGGGUUGUAAAGUACUUUCCGCGGGGAGGCGUUACCCGCAUAAGAAGCACCGGCAAACUCCGUGCCAGCCGCCGCGGUAAUAC